AAGUGUGACCGGACUUCAAAAUGUAAUUAACCCGACCGUUGAAAUCCCUUCACCAUGGAAUUGGAAUCCUAUAAACAAAAUCUGUAGCCGACAAGAUCAGUAUGAAGCUUAUUUCAAUGGCGAAAUCUCAUUUGCCUGCAUAUGCUUCCUCUUCCGCAAAAAUCCACCCCGAGAUAGACCCCAAUUCCUGCUCCCUUGAGAAGUUCAAGCUUUAGGAGAGCAGAGCGAGGUUCUAUUUAAUUGGGAGUGACAGGAACAAGAGGUUUUUUCGAGUGUUGAAAAUUGAUCUAUCAGAGCCGUCUGAUCUAAAUAUCAACGAGGAUACGGUGGUUUAUUCCCCCUCAGGAAAUCAAAAACCUGCUUCAAUUUAAUUGGGAGUGACAGGAACAAGAGGUCUUUUUAUUUAGGAGGGGUUGCAUUAAGUUUUUGGAGUCAUAUUAUUUGAUUUUGGUUACCAAGCAAAGACAAAUUGGAUGUAUAUGCGGUCAUGCGAUAUACAGUAUAGAUGAGCGCAAUUGAUUAUGCUUCCUCAUGUCUCUAUUCAAUCAGAUGGGGCGCAUUCGAAAAUCGA